UACAGAGGUGGCAAGCGUUGUUCGGAAUUACUGGGCGUAAAGGGCGCGUAGGCGGUCUUCUAAGUCUUGUGUGAAAUCCCUCGGCUCAACUGAGGAACUGCACGGGAUACUGGAAGACUUGAGUUCGGGAGAGGGAAGCGGAAUUCCGGGUGUAGCGGUGAAAUGCGUAGAUAUCGGGAGGAACACCAGUGGCGAAGGCGACUACCUGGCCUGUUCUUGACGCUGAGGCGCGAAAGCUAGGGGAGCAAACGGG
rnacentral:rRNA from 1 species